rnacentral:rRNA from 1 species
AGAGUUUGGUUUGGCUCAGAUUGAACGCUGGCGGCAGGCCUAACACAUGCAAGUCGAGCGGAAACGACAUUAACAAUCCUUCGGGUGCGUUAAUGGGCGUCGAGCGGCGGACGGGUGAGUAAUGCCUAGGAAAUUGCCUUGAUGUGGGGGAUAACCAUUGGAAACGAUGGCUAAUACCGCAUAAUGCCUACGGGCCAAAGAGGGGGAUCUUCGGACCUCUCGCGUCAAGAUAUGCCUAGGUGGGAUUAGCUAGUUGGUGAGGUAAUGGCUCACCAAGGCGACGAUCCCUAGCUGGUCUGAGAGGAUGAUCAGCCACACUGGAACUGAGACACGGUCCAGACUCCUACGGGAGGCAGCAGUGGGGAAUAUUGCACAAUGGGCGAAAGCCUGAUGCAGCCAUGCCGCGUGUAUGAAGAAGGCCUUCGGGUUGUAAAGUACUUUCAGUUGUGAGGAAGGGGGUAACGUUAAUAGCGUUAUCUCUUGACGUUAGCAACAGAAGAAGCACCGGCUAACUCCGUGCCAGC